UAGUUAGAUCUUUAAGGUGCUGUGGA
rnacentral:piRNA from 1 species